CAAUAGCGUAUAUUAAAGUUGUUGCAGUUAAAAAGCUCGUAGUUGGAUUUCUGGUAGGAGUGACCGUUCCGAACUUGAUUGUUCGUGUAUUGUGUUUUCUCCAGCCAUCCUUGUGGAGAACUUUUCUUGCAUUAAUUUGUAGGGAUUGGGACCCGCAUCGUUUACUGUGAAAAAAUUAGAGUGUUUAAAGCAGGCAAUCGCUUGAAUACAUUAGCAUGGAAUAAUAAGAUAGGACUUUGGUACUAUUUUGUUGGUUUGCAUACCAAAUUAAUGAUCAACAGGAACAGUUUGAGGAUAUUCGUAUGAACAUGUCAGAGGUGAAAUUCUUGGAUUUUGAUCAGACGGACUACUGCGAAAGCAUUUAUCAAGGAUGUUUUCAUUAA
rnacentral:rRNA from 1 species